rnacentral:rRNA from 1 species
AGAGUUUGAUCCUGGCUCAGGAUGAACGCUGGCGGCGUGCCUAAUACAUGCAAGUCGAACGCUUCACUUCGGUGAAGAGUGGCGAACGGGUGAGUAAUACAUAAGUAACCUGGCAUCUACAGGGGGAUAACUGAUGGAAACGUCAGCUAAGACCGCAUAGAUGUAGAGAUCGCAUGAACUCUAUAUGAAAAGUGCUACGGGACUGGUAGAUGAUGGACUUAUGGCGCAUUAGCUAGUUGGUAGGGUAACGGCCUACCAAGGCGACGAUGCGUAGCCGACCUGAGAGGGUGACCGGCCACACUGGGACUGAGACACGGCCCAGACUCCUACGGGAGGCAGCAGUAGGGAAUUUUCGGCAAUGGGGGAAACCCUGACCGAGCAACGCCGCGUGAAGGAAGAAGUAAUUCGUUAUGUAAACUUCUGUCAUAGAGGAAGAACGGUGGAUAUAGGGAAUGAUAUCCAAGUGACGGUACUCUAUAAGAAAGCCACGGCUAACUACGUGCCAGCAGCCGCGGUAAUACGUAGGUGGCGAGCGUUAUCCGGAAUUAUUGGGCGUAAAGAGGGAGCAGGCGGCACUAAGGGUCUGUGGUGAAAGAUCGAAGCUUAACUUCGGUAAGCCAUGGAAACCGUAGAGCUAGAGUGUGUGAGAGGAUCGUGGAAUUCCAUGUGUAGCGGUGAAAUGCGUAGAUAUAUGGAGGAACACCAGUGGCGAAGGCGACGAUCUGGCGCAUAACUGACGCUCAGUCCCGAAAGCGUGGGGAGCAAAUAGGAUUAGAUACCCUAGUAGUCCACGCCGUAAACGAUGAGUACUAAGUGUUGGGUGUCAAAGCUCAGUGCUGCAGUUAACGCAAUAAGUACUCCGCCUGAGUAGUACGUUCGCAAGAAUGAAACUCAAAGGAAUUGACGGGGG